UUUUUCUCCCUUUCCGUUUUCAAAAAAAAAAGCCCCGGGUUACUCCCCCGCCAGCAGCCUGGGUUAUAAGGUUAGUCGGCCAAGUCUUGAUUCGAAUUUAUUGGGAGUAAAGCGACGGCAGUCGUUUUUUUAAGUUGGAAGAGAAAUCCCCGGCUCAGCGGGGGAGGUUCAUUGAAACCGGGCAGACUUGAGUGCAGAAGGGGGGGGGUGGUAUUCCCAUGUGUAGCGGUGAAAUGCGUAGAUAUAUGGAGGAACACCGGUGGGGAAGGCGGCUUUUUGUUCAAAAACUGACGCUGAGGUUCGAAAGCGUGGGGAGCAAACAGGAUUAGAUACCCUGGUAGUCCACGCUGUAAACGAUGAUGAUUAGGAGGUGGUGGCUUUCAGCCGUUAAUUGCGGAAGAAAAGCGAUUAAAUCAUCCGCCUGGGGAGGUCGGCCGCAAGGUUGAAACUUAAAAGAAUUGGCGGGGGGCCGCACCAACGGUGGAGCAUGUGGUUUAAUUUGAAAGAACGGGAAGGACCUUUCCCAGUUCUGGCAUUCAGUGGACCUAUCAGAGAUAUAGAGUUUCCCUUUGGGGGGCAAAGACAGAGUGUGGCACAUGGGUCGUCAGCUCGUGUUGUGAAAUAUGUGGGGUUAAGUCUCCGCACACGAGCGCACACCCUUUUCUUGUUAGUUGCAGCGGUUUAGGUCGGGAACUCAAAGGAGACUGCCGGUGAUAAACCGGAGGAAGGUGGGGAUGACGUCAAGUCAUCAUGCCCCUUACGACCAGGGCUACACACGUGCUACAAUGGCAUAUACAAAGAGAAGCGACCUCGCGAGAGCAAGCGGACCUCAUAAAGUAUGUCGUAGUCCGGAUUGGAGUCUGCAACUCGCCUCCAUGAAGUCGGAAUCGUUAGUAAUCGUGGAUCAGAAUGCCACG
rnacentral:rRNA from 1 species